rnacentral:tRNA from 3 species
UGGUAUGGCUCAGUCGGUAGAGCAGCUGAUUCGUAAUCAGCAGGUCGGCGGUUCAAGUCCGCCUACC